rnacentral:rRNA from 1 species
CAGUCGUACCUGCGGAUAAUCAGCCUUUAGAUGCGAUUUUGUGGAGCGUGAAGAGCUAAUCGCCUUCAUGCCUGUAUAUUCGUGUACUUGGGGCGUACUUAUUCGUGUGGUAAGUUAACAUCAAUUUUGGUUGUCAUAAAAUGAUUGGAGGAAUGUAGCUUCGAUCUCGUAUUGAAGUGUUAUAGCCUUUGGUAGAUGUGACGAUCGGGAUUGAGGAUUGCAACGGAUACCCUUCGGGGCUACCUGUCUGAUCUCUGAUUGUUGCUCUGGUGCUGAAAGCUUGCUUAUGGUUAUCAAAGUCGAUGGUCAAUAGGUUAGAAGUGGGUUAAAUUCGUUAAGGAUGGUU